UACGGGGGGGGCAAGCGUUGUUCGGAAUUACUGGGCGUAAAGGGCUCGUAGGCGGCCAACUAAGUCAGACGUGAAAUCCCUCGGCUUAACCGGGGAACUGCAUCUGAUACUGGAUGGCUUGAGAUUGGGAGAGGGAUGCGGAAUUCCAGGUGUAGCGGUGAAAUGCGUAGAUAUCUGGAGGAACACCGGUGGCGAAGGCGGCAUCCUGGACCAACACUGACACUGAGGAGCGAAAGCCAGGGGAGCAAACGGG
rnacentral:rRNA from 1 species